rnacentral:rRNA from 1 species
UAGGGAAUCUUCCACAAUGGACGCAAGUCUGAUGGAGCAACGCCGCGUGAGUGAAGAAGGUUUUCGGAUCGUAAAGCUCUGUUGUUGGUGAAGAAGGAUAGAGGUAGUAACUGGCCUUUAUUUGACGGUAAUCAACCAGAAAGUCACGGCUAACUACGUUCCAGCAGCCGCGGUAAUACGUAGGUGGCAAGCGUUGUCCGGAUUUAUUGGGCGUAAAGCGAGCGCAGGCGGAAGAAUAAGUCUGAUGUGAAAGCCCUCGGCUUAACCGAGGAACUGCAUCGGAAACUGUUUUUCUUGAGUGCAGAAGAGGAGAGUGGAAUUCCAUGUGUAGCGGUGGAAUGCGUAGAUAUAUGGAAGAACACCAGUGGCGAAGGCGACUCUCUGGUCUGCAACUGACGCUGAGGCUCGAAAGCAUGGGUAGCGAACAGG